GGCUGAGUCAGGGGUGAAAAAAUUCAGCCUAAACAUCAAGAAGACUGGAAAAGGUGUGCUCCCUAAAAAUGAAAAAGGUCCAUAUUACUAAUGCUAAAAUAUGGAAUGCAUAGGAUCUAAGUAUCAAGGAACUGGCUGAAUAGAUCAGCUUGAGAAGGGAAUGGUACGCAUAAAAGAAGAUCUAUCUUUGAAGCAUAUUUUAGAUGAGAUAGAGACGGGUGGUCCUACUGCUAUGAUGAGGUUGUUUGUGCAAUUUGUAACACUGAGCAGCCGAUAGGAAAACAACAGAUUCAUUGUGAUGAGUGUGAAAUCUGUAGGGUUGGUGGUCAAGAGAACUAUUUCCACUGUGAAAAGUGUGGGUCAUGCUAUUUAGUUACACUACGUGACAAUCAUUUGUGUGGAGAACUCCAUGGGCAUGUGCAUUACUGAAGCUGCUGUUAUUGCAAUUAUGUAGUUAUAUGAUAUUAAAACAUUG